GUGAGUUUUGGCACUAUAAGUUGAACACUGAUAUUGUAUUCAUCUUUUUGUUCCUUUCAACUUAUGCUCUCCCAUGUGCUUUUAAAAAAUUGGUUUAAUCUUUUUCCGGAGCUGCUUAUCAUGUAUAAUAUUUUCUUGUCAUUGACACGAUAUUUUUGAUGUCUAUCCUGAAAAAAAGGGGGAAAAAACACAAUCUACUUGGUUAAACAACAAUAAUUGUUUUAGCCUUUCAUUUCGAACUAUACUCAUGUUGUGAUGCACAUAUGCUGAUGUAGUUAUCUUGUUCAAAGGGGUGCUAGCAUGUCAUGAUUUUGUGCUUUUCAGAUAAAUGUGCUUGCUUAUUGGCCUACAAGGAAUAUGUUCCUCUCUCUCCGGGAUAGCUCUGAUUUUGUGCGAAUUAUGCUUGUUCAUCACAUCAAUGAAACCAACAAUUGGGUUGGCAUAGCGGUCAUAUCCUGGUCUGGCGGUGCAUCUACGUGGUACUUCCACAACAAGGAUGCACUCUUCAGAAUAUGGCUAUCGUAUCCGAAGAAUAUUAGUAACUUAUUUUGCUCAACUCCAGGCCUUUUCAGAGUAGUUCCAAUGCACUUAGUUCACUUUAAUACUUUUAAGGUUUUGUCCACUCAUGUCCUCAUAUAUGUGCUGGUACUAUAAUUUUCAUGUGACAGAUAAUAAAACUCAUGAGGUAGCUUCUACUCCACAUGAUUUUUUUUUUCCUUUCUCAUUUGCAACUGUAUCAGAACUAUUGGUACAUAUGUUGAAUACAUAUGCAAAAUCUAUUCAGUUGAUUUCUUUUAUCGCUUAUCUCUCAUCAGCUAAUAAGAAUUGAUUUCCUUUGAAACUUAUCGUUGUUGACUCAGAGUCUGAAUUAUAGCUCGAACAUCCAGAAAAUUUUGUCAUAUCCUGAUGUCUCCCAGAUUUAAGCCUUUCAGGUAGGUAUCUUCUGUGAAGAACGUCUCCUUGUAUGCAAAUCCCAUAAUGCUCAAGCAUAGAAAUUUUCGGUUGAUUAGAAACUGAUUUGAAUAUAAUGCUGUUAUCAAUAACUGUACAUUACAGGUCGUUUUGAGGCUGUAUGUAUCUAUGGAUUAUAUCUGAUAUUUCCAGAGUUAAGCAAUUCACGAAGCUUCACAAUAUCCUCACCGUGUGAGUGCACACACCCUAAUGCUCAGAAAUCGCCGGAUUUGCCAGUGUCAGAUCUUCAGUGCUUUGCGCAAUGUUUACUGCCUAGGAUGUGGAAUUGUUAGGCAGCAUCCACAAUGUGAAUUGAUGGUUUAACUUGCAUACUGAAGCAGUAGCUGACAUGAGACUGUCUUAGGAUUUCGUGGCUGGUAUUUAGUUUUACUUACUUGCAAAUCAUGUGCUAUAAACUUCAGAGGAUUUAUUACAGUUGGUCUCUAAACCAAGAAAUUGAGGGGUAUGGUGUUCACUCACAAUCCUGCAUGCUAUUGAAGUCAUUUUAUUUUGCAGAAACAUGCAUUUGUUCAGCUGUCUCUCUGCAACUUAAUGGCUUGUAGAUGAUAAAAAGUGUUUGUACAUGGUCCAUCUGAUUGCACAAAAGAAGACAUGAGUCCCAGUCCCAAGUCUUUAUUCCCUAGAAAAAUAUUAGUGGUCUUUCACUGAUGUCUCAUCCCAAGCUUUUUCAUAUCAUGUUUGCUGGUCAGUGAAAUUUGUGCGUUAUUAUCAUGUACUGAGUAUUAAUCACCAUGAAUUACGAUAGACCAUACUCACGUUAACUCGAUGAGAAUUUGCCUUCG